rnacentral:rRNA from 1 species
GACUACAUGAAGCUGGAAUCGCUAGUAAUCGCGGAUCAGAAUGCCGCGGUGAAUACGUUCCCGGGUCUUGUACACACCGCCCGUCACACCAUGGGAGUCGGAAAUGCCCGAAGCCGGUGACCUAACCUUUCAGGAAGGAGCCGUCGAAGGCAGGUCGGAUGACUGGGGUGAAGUCGUAACAAGGUAAC